rnacentral:rRNA from 1 species
UACGAAGGGGGCUAGCGUUGUUCGGAUUUACUGGGCGUAAAGCGCACGUAGGCGGAUCGAUCAGUCAGGGGUGAAAUCCCAGAGCUCAACUCUGGAACUGCCUUUGAUACCGUCGAUCUGGAGUAUGGAAGAGGUGAGUGGAAUUCCGAGUGUAGAGGUGAAAUUCGUAGAUAUUCGGAGGAACACCAGUGGCGAAGGCGGCUCACUGGUCCAUUACUGACGCUGAGGUGCGAAAGCGUGGGGAGCAAACAGG